CUCUGAUGGCCAGAGACGCACUACCAGUUUUCCUUGUGUAGUUGUGCUGGGUAGCGUUAGUGCGUCUGGCAGGUGGGGCGCAGCAGAGGCUAGCGGCGACGGCCUUGGGAUGUUGGCCGGGGCGGUACCGACUAGGCGGUAGGGAUCGGAGGGGGCGUAGCGUCGUCGGGCUGGUCGAGCGGCGGAGACUAAGGUAGGGCGGCUUGAGGUUGGGGGUUUAGGGGGGCGGGGGGUAGCAAAGGAGGCACGUCCAGUUGGGCCGCAGCCGACAAUGCCCUCCGUCUAGGUGCCUGGAGGGCGGCGUCGACGUCCGCGGAAGAGCGCGCGUCCGCCGACUUCCGCGGCCUCCUAAGCCACGCUAGGUGGCGAGCCCGGUCCGGGGGGAGCGGGGGCGGCAGCCGGUCGGAGGUGCCAUGCGCUGUCGGCCGUGCUGUAUACGGUGCGUCUACUGGAAGGGCCCGCCGCCCCCCGUCAACGCGGUCGUCGGCCCCGACGCGCGCCGGUACAAACCCGUCCCCGUCGGCUCCUACGAAGUUCCCGUCCCGUUGCGUCGGAGGCGCCGCGUCAUGCUCGAGGUCAAGGUCGGUUGCUACUAUCGCGUCGGUCCCGUCUCCCCGCACCAUGUUCCGCACGUUAAGUUGUGAGGGUGACGUGUUCGCGUCAGGUACCCACGAAGGGACUACUUGGUCUACUCCGGAUUACCUUAAUGAUGGGGUAUACCACGAGUUUGAGUCGUUGCAAGACGGAUAGUACGUGUUUACUCCGGUGUCGUCGUUGGACCUAGUAGUGUUUUACCAGGACACCACGUCUACAAUGGUUGCGUAGUCUACGUUAGCCGUUACCGGAGCGGACGAAGAGGUGUAGUUGCGGUCGUUCUUGUUUACUACGUUGACUAUGUUGUUGAAGUCGUCUCUCCUAACUUAGCGGUCGUCUAACGCGUCCGCGAUGUCGCUGAAGGGGUAGAAUUACGGGUUGUAGACUUGGUCGUCGUUGCCGUUGUUGUCGUUCGUAGAGGUUCCUACGGUCGUAGUAGGCGUCCCUUCGGGCGUUUGUACCGUCCUAGCGUCGGCCGCUGUGGAAGGAGUCCGCCUUGGCGCCGCCCACGUUUACGCGGCGUAGUUCCUCCCCCUUUAACGUCGGUUGAAGAACCCUUCUCUUUCUAUGUACUAAACCACCGCGUCCACCUAGGUGAGACGCUCCAACUAGGUCUCCACCUUCUAAACUAAGACCUCUAACGGCUGCUGAAGUAAUUGUGUCGCCGACUAAAACGCACGUCCGAACGUUUCGUGUCCUUUAGUAGCCAACACCUUCGGUUCCUACACGAUGACGUGGACGUCUUCUUAACAGUGGACAGGCGAGGACCAAAGGGUGUCCUCUCCUACACUUACUUAGACGUCUCUUUAAGUCACAUCGGAAACCAUCUUAACACCGUAAAUGAUGAAACUUUUCGCACUUAACAUAAACUCUAUCUAUCAAUAUGGUAAUAUCCAUUUAACGACUUUUUCUAUAUAGCUAUAUGGAGGGUAAUCAGUAUCAUGCACAAACACGCACCUACCUCGUGUACAUAUAUCAGGGUGCAUAUGGAGUUUUUUUACAUGUGUCAGGGUGCAUGGACUGCUGUAAGUGAUACAUGUUACGGUAGACUGUAAAAACAUGUGGUAUC
rnacentral:rRNA from 1 species